rnacentral:rRNA from 1 species
CGAGCGAUCUCUUCGGAGAGAGCGGCGGACGGGUGAGUAACGCGUGGGUACCUGCCCUGUACACACGGAUAACAUACCGAAAGGUAUACUAAUACGGGAUAACAUACGAAAGUCGCAUGGCUUUUGUAUCAAAGCUCCGGCGGUACAGGAUGGACCCGCGUCUGAUUAGCUAGUUGGUAAGGUAAUGGCUUACCAAGGCAACGAUCAGUAGCCGACCUGAUAGGGUGAUCGGCCACACUGGAACUGAGACACGG